AAGCUUCGCUUCCCCGGGGAUAAAACGGAAAGCCUCACCAGAAAAACGCUAACCUCUCUGGACACAGAUUGAUGCCUGGAGAUUCAGGAGCCAUCUUGCAGCCUUCGGGAUGAAACCCCCCAUCCUGAGAAUGACUGCCCAAGAGAGAGAAGGAGGCCUGCUUAGCCACAUUGUUGUUCCCCAGACUGAAGCUGUGGAGUGGAGGCAGCUGAAUUACAGCACUAUCAGAACCCUGCAUGCAGUUUCCCUGGCCUCAACUUGACCUGUCCCAACCAAACGAAGCAAAGGAGACCUGACCAACUGUAGUGAAAAACCCAGCCAGGGAAACAGCGUUCUUAAAGUUUGUAUAACCAACUGGAAAGAAGGGCAUACGUUUUCACAUAUGAUCUACUUCUGAUAUCUUCAUGUGAUUGAUUUAUAGGAAAAUACUGGCCUCUCUGCAUUAAACAAAUAAAAUCUUCUCUCCAAUGCAAAAC